GCUGCAUUCUUGCCUCUCCCCGGAUGGGUCUUUAUGUGGCGGAGGAGCCGCGAGACCGUCCCCGCGGCACCAGUCGACUCACGGGCGGAAAGAAAAGGGGCGAGCGAGGCUCACGCUACGACCACAGCAUGAUGAGAGCAGAGGAGCGGAGGCUUGAAGGCUUCCAGGUUGUGGGUUCGCGAUGAACGGGCGCGCGGACGUGCGAGCGGCGAGGAAGGCGGACGGGUCCGGACUCUGACAAAUUGCGCUGCAGGGAAACAGGAAUUUAAAAGACGGUCACGUGAGCCUCCUCGUAUUGUCAAGCACCCCUCCUCCUUUCCCUCCCCCUCCUUACCACAUACGGCCUCACACACUUAAAUGUACUUAAUGCAACCGAAAGUUACUAUAACUAUAGCAGUGGUCAUAUUUUCAUCAUUAUCAUCAUCAUCAUCAUCAUCAUCAUCAUCAUCAUCAUCAUCAUCAUCAUUACAUACACCUGCUGUUCACUCCUAACACAUGUUCAUUUCUCAGCAGGUAAAACACGAGCAACCACAACUUAAUCGCCAUGGAAACCUCACAUCUUCAUCUCCAUAGCUACUGUUUAGAAGGAGUGACACAUCGCAGCAGAGGCUGCGAGAGAUAAUCUCCCGACAUGCUGCUCCGACACACGCCCAGCGUGAACGCGACCUGCAGCGUCGCCAGUGCAUCAGUGCGAACAUACUCACUGCUGAGGCGGCCCCGCACACACACACACACACACACACACACACACACACACACACACAAACGGGUGCAUCUUCAAGCCACGUUGCAUCUCUGUCACCAUCAGCCACGCGAACAAGGUGUGAAAAACUGCAAAGACAAAUGUGACAGCAGCAGUGUUAUAUUAUACAUUGAUAUAUAGUGUGUGACUGCAGUAUGAGUUCAAACAUGUGUAUAUUAAUCCCUGAUCCCUGUUGUCUGAGCCAACGUUUUUCUGACGCGUGUCUGACCGUUUCGUGUUCAAGCUGCUUUUUGCACCAGACACGGUGUGGUUUUCUGUCUGUCACCAGCUAUUCUCGCUUCAGGAUGUCACAGACGGUCGAUUUCCUAAAAGCGUCACAAACCCGGACGGUGUCACAAAGUAGAGGCCGAUUGCGUUUCACCUGAGGGUUCAGGAAGGCCAGGAAUUCUGGAGGUUCCGGAGUUCCAGUAACCAGUUAGGAGACGAUGUGACGUGGAUACAUUCAGCAAAUGAGGGACUCAUCCAAUCACUCAUGUUACUCAUGCACCUGAGGGACUCUCGGAGUCUUCACACGCGAUGGAGCCUUUGGAGACGGAUAGACAUGCAGCAGCACGUGUCAUCAGCUGGAUAACCUGCAGCUGCAGGUAGAAAGGUAAGGUAGAAAGCUAAGGUAAAGCUAAGGGAGAAAUGCAAUAAGUGCUCAUCCUGCUGUUCUUCAUAUUCUUCUCCAGUUAUAUUUACUUUCAUUAUUUAUUCUAACUUCAAUUCAACACUGUGACGCGUCUCAGUGGGGUAAAAUCCUACAAGGCUUCUCAUGUGCGACUGCCCUGAGGACCUUCCCUCAUACGCAUGCGUUUUUCAACAUACCUGUAGCAUGUUAGUGCAGCAGAGCUCGAAUUACUGUUAGAGGAUGGGCACAUCUCAGCUGAUCUGCUCGUGUUGUAUAGGAAACCGAUGAACUGCACAGAUUAAAUGUCACCGGCAGUAAAGCUGAAGCUGCAGGAUGUAUUCAGCUUUUUUCACUCCUAGUUACAGUGUGUUUUGUUUAUUUUGCAAAUAAAUUCAUUCAUUUGUU